UCUCGUUUUUCUCCUCUUCCCUUUUCUUCUCAUUUCUUCCAAAGCUCUUCACAUUUCAUAAUCCCCCUCUUUUUCUCUCAAAUCUCAAAAAAUCAAAGCCUAGAUUUGGGACACCGCCGGUCAAGAAAGGUGAGAGCCCCUUCCCAAGAUUUCCAAAUUCUCUCAGAUCUCAAUUUGUGAAUGUUAGGGUUUCCAGAUUGGAACUCUGCCCUACAACCACCGUCUGCUACAACUCCAGUAGCUACCCACCACCACCGACCUGGAUCAACACUCCAACUACCCUACCACAACCCCGAUUCCCUCGCUCCCUCCCUCUCUCUCGCUCUCUCUCUCAUGUUGGGCGGUCUUUUUCCUGCCGAAAACAAUUUCAGCGACCAUCAUCCAUCUUGCACUAGUGACAGGUUCAAUACCCUCGUGCUGGCAGCAAAGCAAGCAUCCUGGAAAGUGGUCCACUGCAGGCCCUAUCAAGAGUCUCAUUGACACGUGCACUAAGAGUGUGGGAGAACUUCAAUCAAAUUUCAGCAAAGAAGUUGUAUAUGAGAGAAGGUAUAUGGUAGAGAAGUGAUUCGAGCUUGGGUCUUAAGAGAUGGCGUUUCAACCACCGGUUUGGUACUGUUAGCCUGUGGAGAAUGGAUUCUGGUUGAAGGCAGUUGAGAAUGCCUUUGGCUCUUAUACUCCCUGCAGCAUGGAUACUUUGGUGGUUUGCAUCUCCAAUUUGGUUCUUAUAUGUUUAUGUUGUUACCGGGUGUGGUGGAUCAGGAAGGACACAAGUGUCCAGAGAUUCCGUUUGAGGAUCAGCAAGGUGUGGAGCCAUUAUCCCUUUGAUCUGCUUGAGAUGUCUGGUUGUGAAGACUUUGGCCUCAUCCAAAACAGCUUCUCCUAUAAAUCCAAGGUGUGAUGCUUCAUACAAGCUCAGCAUUCCCUUUAUGUCCUCGCUAAGGCAUGACUUGAAACUACGCUUGUCGUCCAUGAAGCUAUUGAACACAUCUGUUACAUUACACCAUCAAAUGAAUGCUUUGCUCAAAAUUUCAGGCUGCAUUUGGAUACACUAUUGAAUUGGAUUGUGAUAGUUAGUUCACUUACACUGCAUUUGGAUGCAUUGUGGAAUCGAGUUGCUCAAUUAUUUCAGUAAUAGUAAAUAACCAGAUUGAAACUACCUCCUUGAGGAACAAAGCUCCAAAUCACGGCCAUGUAGUUCUCAAGUCGGACUUGCAAAGGAACGUAACUUUAAUUUGUCUAUUUCUCUCUAGCCCAUGAAUUGGUGUUCAAUUCAUUAGUACAUCCAAACAUGGCCUUAUGCAAUGUUUCGAUGCACUAUUGAAUUGACUUGCAACAGUUAUUCUGAUAAUGUAGAAAAGUAUCCCUACUUAAGUACUAAGCUCCAAAAUGCAGCAAUGUUAAUUUCAAGUUGGAGAUGAAAGGAAUGUAAUUGCAAUUUGAAGGGUUACCUGGCAAUUCAGUUCUGUUCGCUUCUAAACGCAACCCAAGUGGAAAUAUCCAAAUUGCAAUUACUGUUACUCGAAGUUGUACUAUUCAAUUUUGGAAUUGUAUUUAGAAAAUUUCGCAAUUGAAACUUAAACUUCAUUAGCCAACGAAUCAUCAAAUUGCAAUUUGUCUUCGUAUGUGUUUAGCUUGUACAAUAUGCCUUGGUUGGGAAGGUUGUCGUGCUUAAUCUUGUCCUAUCAGUCAAAGAAUACUAUAACAAGUGAGUUCUGUUCUCAGUCAUUUGGUUUAGUUGCUAAAGCUACAUUGUUCUAUUAUCUUUAAUGUAAUAAUUUUAUUAUUUUAAUUGUAUGUAGAAAGAUGCCAAAAGCAACCAUGAACUAAUUUUAUUAUUUUAGUUGUAUGUAGAAAGAUGCCAAAAGCAACCAUGAAUAUGAAGCUGUUUUUAUUUAUAUUUUCUGCUAGUCUCCACCAUUCAUUGUGUGGAGUGAUUGCUGAAUUGAGCAAGCAUAUAGAUCCAACACAAUGUGUUUGCUAGAAGAUACUCUAGUGCUGGAUGUCUUCCUGCAAGGUACUUGGAAGAGGAAUUUUGGCAUGAAAUAGCUUGUGGAAAGACAGAAACUGUUGACAACCCAUGGUGCCUUUACUUCUCGAGAUAGUGAACCUAUUGGCAAUUCCUGCUGGUAUUAAUCAAAAUGCCAUUGUUCAGAAGUGGCAAUGUGGAUGGAUGGCAUGAUCUCCACUGGAGUAACAAGGAAUUACAUAUAGUUGCUAGUAACCAAACCCAAUGGUAAGUUACCAAUUCAAUGGUCAGUAUCAUUUGUAUGCGUAUGAUGUUGUGUCCAUUUUUCUGCCUCACUUGAGAACUGAUUAGUCUUGUUAAGCUUCAUUAGUGAAUAGCAUAUCAUUUUAUUCAUUAUAAUUAUGAUUAGAAGCUAGCUAGUAAUUCAAUUUGUUUGCAAUUCAAUGUCACUUUAUCAGAAAUUGUUAUUGUUUUCACGGUUUAUUUUACUCGGCAAUUUAGAAUGACUCAUACAGUUCUAACCAAUAAAAUUUCUACUCUAUUUGGCCAUUUUCAGGGGGUGGUAUCCGACCACUAAUGAUUUUGGAUUGGAGAAUUCCAUGGGCUGCUAAAGAUUAUAAUGUUCAGGUAACUUACUCCUCAAGAUGCAUAUCCACCUCAGGGCAUAGGGGCUGUUUGCUGUGGACCGUGGCAUAUCUUUUCAAUCGCUAUUGGGAAGACAUCGGAACAAUAAAAUCAUUUUUUGAUGCAAAUUUGGCACUCACUGAUCAGCCUCCCAGGUUUCACUUUUAUGAUCCAUUGAAGCCAAUCUUCACAUCUCCUCGAUUUCUACCACCAAGUAAAAUAGAAAAGUGCCAUGUAUGAUCUUCUUUACUGCUCCUGCUGCUGAGGUUAGACUGUCUUAAUGAGGGAGUUUACCUGUCCCGAUCGAUUUGUACACACCUAUUUUUGGCUUGGCAAUUAAAACAGAAUAGUAGUUUAAUACGUCCCAAA